AGGCACGUAGCUCAGUUGGUUAGAGCACCACCUUGACAUGGUGGGGGUCAGCGGUUCGAAUCCGCUCGUGCCUACCA
rnacentral:tRNA from 2 species